CUGAAAGAUGAGUCCGCGUACCAUUAGCUAGUUGGUGGGGUAAUGGCCCACCAAGGCUACGAUGGUUAGCUGGUCUGAGAGGAUGAUCAGCCACACUGGAACUGAGACACGGUCCAGACUCCUACGGGAGGCAGCAGUGAGGAAUAUUGCGCAAUGGGGGCAACCCUGACGCAGCGACGCCGCGUGGAUGAUGAAGGCCUUCGGGUCGUAAAAUCCUGUCAGAUGGAAAGAAGUGCAUGGUGGCUAAUACCUGCCAUGUUUGACGGUACCAUCGAAGGAAGCACCGGCUAACUCCGUGCCAGCAGCCGCGGUAAUACGGAGGGUGCAAGCGUUGUUCGGAAUUACUGGGCGUAAAGCGCGCGUAGGCGGUUUGUUAAGUCUGAUGUGAAAGCCCUGGGCUCAACCCAGGAAGUGCAUUGGAUACUGGCAGACUUGAAUACGGGAGAGGGUAGUGGAAUUCCUAGUGUAGGAGUGAAAUCCGUAGAUAUUAGGAGGAACACCGGUGGCGAAGGCGGCUACCUGGACCGAUACUGACGCUGAGGCGCGAAAGCGUGGGGAGCAAACAGGAUUAGAUACCCUGGUAGUCCACGCCGUAAACGAUGAGUGCUAGGUGUCGGGGGUAUCGACCCCCUCGGUGCCACAGCUAACGCAAUAAGCACUCCGCCUGGGGAGUACGGUCGCAAGACUGAAACUCAAAGGAAUUGACGGGGGCCCGCACAAGCGGAGGAACAUGUGGUUUAAUUCGAUGAUACGCGAGGAACCUUACCCGGGCUCGAACGGUGCAGGAAUAUGUCAGAGAUGUCAUAGCUAGCAAUAGUCUGUAUCGAGGUGCUGCAUGGUUGUCGUCAGCUCGUGCCGUGAGGUGUCGGCUUAAGUGCCAUAACGAGCGCAACCCUUGUCGUUAGUUGCCAUCAAGUAAUGUUGGGGACUCUAGCGAGACUGCCACCGUAAGGUGUGAGGAAGGGGGGGAUGACGUCAAAUCAGCACGGCCCUUACGUCCGGGGCGACACACGUGUUACAAUGGUAGGUACAGAGGGGCGCUAUCCAGCGAUGGAGUGCGAAUCUCAAAAACCUAUCUCAGUUCGGAUCGGAGUCUGCAACCCGACUCCAUGAAGUUGGAUUCGCUAGUAAUCGCGCAUCAGCCAUGGCGCGGUGAAUACGUUCCCGGGCCU
rnacentral:rRNA from 1 species